CGCUCACACUAGUUUCUUCUCACCUGGCCUGCACCCCACCCUGCGCGUGCCCUGAUUCUGCCCUUCUCCCACAAGUUUCACCUGGCCUGGAUGGUCCCAUGCUGUUUUGCCCCCAGAUGAACAGCUGAACUCCUCCCCUCCCCAUGCCCCUCCGUCCUCCCUGUUCAUGAUGCAUCUGCCACUGUGAUGAGCACCCCUGAACUUUCACUACAGUUUCUAUACUUCGAAAACAGCUUUAUAUGUUUUAAAAAAUAUAUUUUAUCUAACCAAGGACAUAAAAUAGGUUGUUUAGGCUAAAAAAGAUCGCUUGUUGCUUAGUUGUUUAAUUGCUGGCCUCGCUAAAAAAAAAAGCUAUAUCAACAAAGUCCCAGAAAAGGAAGGGGGGUUACUUGGGAGAGAGCUGGAAGGGCGGUUACUUGCUGGGCUUGCUACACAUUUCAUCACAUCAACAAGUUUAACCUGUUACAUAGCUAUAUAAGGCAGACGCCCACUGGGGUGGGGGUGCUUACUUUAUAAACGAUUGCCAAACACCACUUUCUACACAAAAAUAAAGAUUAAGUUAGAUCCUUCACUCCUGUGUGUUUAUUGACACAAGCGCACCGGACACGAACUCACUGUCCUUUGGAGACAACAAUUUCUGGCGACCCAGAUGGGACCCUAGCUGACUGCCUUGCCCGGUCCACCUUUUCGGCUCCGGCAACAACUGUGGACGGCGCGAGGGCCAGGCACCACCGACCUUAUUCGUCGGAGGUCUGACCGUCUCCUGGUUGCCUGAUGGAGUCGUGGAGGGGUACAAUGGCGCAACGCUCGAAGGACCAACUUAAUCGGGCGGGGCGAGGGAGGUUUCAACGGACUGGUCCUUCCCAUGGGAACAGCACUGAGAGAGACUGCAUUUGGCAUCUGCCUUUCACCCUCUUCAACGUGGGGACAUCCUACAACACCUUUGUGGCUACAAGUUCCAGACCUCCAGCAUGACGGGGCUCCAGCACUGUGCCCUGACCUGUCGGCAGUGGAUUGAUAACCGUGUGUCCUUCCAUAUAUUUCGAUGUGAUAUUUUUCUCUGUCUCUCUUAGUAAAGGUGGUUCUUGAUGAA